rnacentral:tRNA from 1 species
CGAAACGUAGUUUAAAAAAUACCUCGUUUACACCGAGGAGUUGUGGGUAAGACCCCCACCGACUCGAG